GGUCAUGAUUGAAUUAGGAAAUAUAAGCGUUGGACAUGUUUUACUUUUCUGUAAGAGACUGGGUUGAUGAAGAAGCUAGCCUACUGUGAAGUUUCUGAUAGCACGCUAGCAUAACGUCAAUGGUUAGCAAUCUCGUUUAAAAGUCAACGAACUUUUCUGUUCAAAGUUAGCGUUCGCCCCCACCAUCACUACGUUAAUUUGAACGUCAAAUUUCGAAGGUUGUGUUGCCAAUACAGGUUAUCAAGGAACGUAGUGGUGUACUGGAUGGAGCUGCAAAGCCUAGCACUACCUUACACUGACAGACUUUGACUAGAUUUGGGAAAGAUUCUUGACAAGAUUGUAGUCUUUUAACUAAUAUAAUAUAAUGCCCCUCAUUCAAGUUUUAGGCUACUCAAAAGACUACAAUCUUUCAAGAAUCUUUCCCAAAUCUUGUCAAAGUUUGUCAGUGUAAGGUAGGCUUAAUCAGGAUUUCUGGAGCAAGGAAGCUGAAAGAAACAUUCCAUGACAAAUUGAUUGAUUGGUGCCAGGGACAGGGGUGGCAAUUGCCUCUCAAGGCAGACACCACGUUUGAGAAAAAAGGCCCAGAAGAGAUGUACAAUCAGAAAGUACAGUAAAGUGAAUGUUACUUGAUGGGUUCUUCUUUAGGAUUGCAUACAGAACCACAUAGCACACAAUAGCCACAAGCCUAAUGCAAUGUUUUUGUUUUCUGUAAUUAUUCUUUUUCUAAUAAUACAUACUGUACGUACACAUACAUUCUGUACAUACACUAUAUUGCCAAAAGUAUUUGGUCACCUGCCUUGACCCCCAUAUGAACUUCAGUCACAUCCUAUUCUUAAUUCAUAGGGUUUGAUAUGACGCCAGUCCACUCUUUGUACCUAUAACAGCUUCAACUCUUCAGGGAAGGCUUUCCACAAGGUUUAGGAGUGUGUUUUUGGGCAUUUUUGACCAUUCUUUCAGAAGUGCAUUUGUGAGGUCACACACUGAUGUUGGACAGGCUCUCAGUCUGUGCUCUAAUUCAUUCGUAAACACACUUCUAAACCUUGUGGAAAGCCUUCCCUGAAGAGUUGAAGAUGUUAUAGCUGCAAAGGGUGGACCAAUGUCAUAUUAAGC